UAAUAGUGUAUAUUAAAGUUGUUGCAGUUAAAAAGCUCGUAGUUGAAUGUUGGUAUCGAACGAGCGGUCAGCUUCGGCUGUACUGCUCUCUCGACUCCUUCCUUCUGUGGACUACGUCGCACUUUACUGUGUGGCGCUAGGACGCAGAUCGUUUACUGUGAAAAAAUUAGAGUGUUCAAAGCAGGCCGUACGCUUGAAUACAUUAGCAUGGAAUAAUGGAAUAGGACGUCGGGCCUAUUUUGUUGGUUCUAGGACCGUCGUAAUGAUUAAUAGGGACAGUUGGGGCCGUUUAUAUUCCGUAGUCAGAGGUGAAAUUCUUGGAUUUGCGGAAGAUAAACUACUGCGAAAGCAUUCGGCAAGGAUGUUUNCGUUA
rnacentral:rRNA from 1 species